GACUCGGUAGUCUAAAGGUCUAAAGACUUAGGACACUCGCAAUGGAAUGAAGAAGAUCCGGGUUCGAUUCCCGGCCGAGGCA
rnacentral:tRNA from 1 species